UAGGGAAUAUUGGGCAAUGGAGGAAACUCUGACCCAGCCAUGCCGCGUGAAGGAUGAAGGUCCUACGGAUUGUAAACUUCUUUUAUAAGGGAAGAAAAAGCUUGAUUCAUCAAGCCCUGACGGUACCUUAUGAAUAAGCACCGGCUAACUCCGUGCCAGCAGCCGCGGUAAUACGGAGGGUGCAAGCGUUAUCCGGAUUCACUGGGUUUAAAGGGUGCGUAGGUGGGUCUGUAAGUCAGUGGUGAAAGCCCCGAGCUCAACUUGGGAACUGCCAUUGAUACUGCUGAUCUUGAGUAUGGUUGAGGUGGGCGGAAUGUUGCGUGUAGCGGUGAAAUGCUUAGAUAUGCAACAGAACACCGAUUGCGAAGGCAGCUCACUAAACCAUUACUGACACUGAGGCACGAAAGCGUGGGGAGCAAACAG
rnacentral:rRNA from 1 species